CAGUCGCGCGGGAAUACGUAGGUGGCAAGCGUCGUCCGGAAUUAUUGGGCGUAAAGCGCGCGCAGGUGGUUUAAUAAGUCUGAUGUGAAAGCCCACGGCUCAACCGUGGAGGGUCAUUGGAAACUGUUAAACUUGAGUGCAGGAGAGAAAAGUGGAAUUCCUAGUGUAGCGGUGAAAUGCGUAGAGAUUAGGAGGAACACCAGUGGCGAAGGCGGCUUUUUGGCCUGUAACUGACACUGAGGCGCGAAAGCGUAGGGAGCAAACAGGAUUAGAUACCCCGGUAGUCCCUGUCUCUUAUACA
rnacentral:rRNA from 1 species